GUUUUUUGGUUCUUGGGUCCAUUAAAUUGCCUAUCUUUUGGAACAUUUGGAGUGCCUGGAUUACUUUCUACAAUUAUACUAUAUAUUUGGUCUCUUUGGUACUGGGACUGAUCCAAGAGCACCGUAGGAUUCCAGAACGAAAGGCUGAGUGCAGUUCCACUACCCGUAUAGUGAUUAUUGUAGAUUAAAGACACAUUACUGGGAGUAUUAUUGCUGAAGAGCCAG